CGGGGCGUGGCUCAGUUGGUUAGAGCACUCGGUUCGGGACCGUGGGGUCGCUGGUUCAAGUCCAGUCGCCCCGA
rnacentral:tRNA from 1 species